GAUGAACGCUGACAGAAUGCUUAACACAUGCAAGUCUUUGGCGAAUCUGUGCUUGCACAGGCUAGCCAAGGCGGACGGGUGAGUAACGCGUAAAGAACUUGCCCUGCAGACAGGGAUAACAGACGGAAACGACUGAUAACACCUGAUACAGUUGCCGGCACGCAUGUGCCUGGCAAUGAAAAGAGAUGCUGCAGGAGAGCUUUGCGUCCUAUUAGCUUGUUGGUGAGGUGACGGCUCACCAAGGCGAUGAUAGGUAGCCGGCCUGAGAGGGUGAACGGCCACAAGGGGACUGAGAUACGGCCCUUACUCCUACGGGAGGCGGCAGUGGGGAAUAUUGGACAAUGGGGGCAACCCUGAUCCAGCAAUUCUGUGUGCACGAAGAAGGUUUUCGGAGUGUAAAGUGCUUUCAGCAGGGAAGAAGAAAGUGACGGUACCUGCAGAAGAAGCGACGGCUAAAUACGUG
rnacentral:rRNA from 1 species